UCAGCCAUAUCAUGUUGAAACACCGGUUCUCGUCCGAUUACCGAAGUUAAGCAACGUCGAGUCUGUUCAGUACUUAGAGAGGUGACGACAAUACCAGGUGCUGUAAG